CCUACGGGUGGCUGCAGUGAGGAAUAUUGGUCAAUGGACGAGAGUCUGAACCAGCCAAGUAGCGUGAAGGAUGACUGCCCUAUGGGUUGUAAACUUCUUUUAUAUGGGAAUAAAAUGUUCCACGUGUGGGAUUUUGUCUGUACCAUAUGAAUAAGGAUCGGCUAACUCCGUGCCAGCAGCCGCGGUAAUACGGAGGAUCCGAGCGUUAUCCGGAUUUAUUGGGUUUAAAGGGAGCGUAGGUGGAUUGUUAAGUCAGUUGUGAAAGUUUGCGGCUCAACCGUAAAAUUGCAGUUGAAACUGGCAGUCUUGAGUACAGGAGAGGUGGGCGGAAUUCGUGGUGUAGCGGUGAAAUGCGUAGAUAUCACGAAGAACUCCGAUUGCGAAGGCAGUUCACUGGACUGCAACUGACACUGAGGCUCGAAAGUGUGGGUAUCAAACAGGAUUAGAUACCCUUGUAGUC
rnacentral:rRNA from 1 species